rnacentral:rRNA from 1 species
UUACAAUGGCAGGUACAGCGGGAAGCCAUAUGGCGACAUAGAGCGGAACCCGAAAACCUGUCUCAGUUCGGAUUGGAGUCUGCAACCCGACUCCAUGGAGCUGGAUUCGCUAGUAAUCGCGCAUCAGCCACGGCGCGGUGAAUACGUUCCCGGGCCUUGUACACACCGCCCGUCAAGCCAUGGGAGCCGGGGGUACCUGAAGUGCGUGACCGCAAGGAGCGCCCUAAGGUAAAACCGGUGACUGGGGCUAAGUCGUAACAAGGUAAC